rnacentral:lncRNA from 1 species
ACAGAGUCGAGAGAGAGGGAGAGAGGGGUCCAUGGCGACUUGGAGCUCUCCUAUCCGGCGGCUUAGUUCACUAGGGUGGUCGUCAGGCGUCCAACGUUCUUCCUCCAGCUGCCCCCUGGCUAUCCCCGCACGGAAGUCUGCAGCAUCUCUCGGGCACCGCACCCACCUGGCCCCCAAUUUUCCCCCGCCGGCAUUUCUGGCCUGAUCCUGUGAUUUGGUAUGUUCGUCAAUUUUGGCAUGAUCCUCCUUCCUGUUGUUAGUUGUGUGUACUGUUUUAUGGUUAGAUCUAUCCCCUUUCGUCUGUUGAGUGUGGUAUUUCCCCUGUAGCUAGUUUAGAUGCAUGUGGUUUGCGUUGUUUACUGUCAUUGAAUCUGGUGAAUUCGGCUGGUUGAUAUGCGCCUGGAUUUUCCCUUGCAGCUAGGUAUUUCAAUUUGGACACGUUGAAAUCAUGUUCAGUGAGUUCAAUCCCCUGGAACACGCUGGAUUCUCUAGUGUUUUAUAUACCCUGUGCCGUUUGCUGAUGUAGGUUUGUAUGUAUUGUUUCAUUGCCUAUCUAUCACUAUGAGAUUGCUAUAGAUUGUCCAUGUCCUGAUUGCCUGGUUUAAUGGGGGAUUGCUUUGGCUAUUUGUUAGUGUAAUUUUAGUGUUUUGUAAGUCAAUUUACACUGCAUUUUUUACUGUAAUUCUUUGCUGAUUUACAUUGCAUUAGUGGAUUUACUGUGUAUUUUUCAGUGGAUUUGCACUGUAAUCCUUAGUGGAAUUACAGUGUAUUUUCUUAGUGGAUUUACACUGUAAUUUUAUUUUGGAAAUACACUGUAAUUCUUACUGGAUUUUUAGUGGCUUUUACAGUGUAAUUCUCAGUGGAUUUACAAAAUGUAAUAGUUGUUUUUACAACGUAAUUUUCAGUGGAUCGGCACUGUAAUUCUUGAUUGAUCUUGUAAUUCGUUAGUGGAGUUACAGUGUAAGUCUCAGUUAAUUUACAGUGUAAUUCCUAGUGCUUUUUCGACUGUAUUUAGUUGAUUUUUACAGCGUAAUUUUUCAGUGGAUUUACACUGUAAUUUCUAGUGCAUUUUCUUAGUGGAUUCACAAAUGUAAUACUGCAUUUGCUAGUGGUUUUUACAGCGUAAUCUUCAGUGGACAGACACUGUAAUUCUUGAGUGCUCUUGUAAUGCAAUUCUUUAGUGGAUUUACAGUGUAAGUCUCACUUGAUUUACAGUGUAUUUCCUAGUGUUUUUGGACUGUAUUUAGAUGAUUUUUACAGUGUAAUUCGUCAGUGGAUUUACACUGUAAUUCUUAGUGCAUUUUGCAAUGUAUUAGUUGAUUCCAAGUGGAUUUUUACAGUGUAAAUCUCAGUGUAGUCACGCCGUAAUUCUUUUGUGGUUUUACUCUGUAAACUCUUACUGCCAUGGUACUGUAUUUACUUAUCUUAUCGGUGAUUUUUACACUGGUUCAUAUUGGAUUUUUUGUGUGAUGUACUGGAAGCGUGAGCUUUUUGGUGGCUCUCGCUUGCCUUUGUGGCUCUGAAAUAAGAUGAUGGCUGAUAUGAGCCCGUGUCUACAUGCCCAGACCUUGCCAAUGGGUGUGUGAAGUGUGGCUUGCAUCCACGUGGCGGCUUGCUUGUUUCGAUUGAUGUGUGCUUGCAAUGAGUUUUGAAAUACUAGUAGUACUUAAGAAGCAGUUUUUGUCUAUGUGGCUGCAGUGUAAAUGUGAUCCUCUCCUCUUACGAGUGUUUGGCAUGUAGUAUUUUGAACUAAAAAGCACUUGUUUCUGCCUGUGAGCUUGCUAAGUAUACAUUUCAUAUGAGCAGGCAACCCUUUACAUUCCAUAUUUUCUAGGUGGUUGUUUAUGCUUUUCAGUUUUGUGUUCUUUCAGUUAUUGGUUCAGCUAGUGCUUGUUUAUGUUGUUUGGGAGAGGGAGUUGUUGAAAUUUUCAGGGCCAUUUACGGUGGAAUUACAGCAGUUUUCAAUGUUGGUUCACUGUAGAUCACAUUGUAAUCCAACUGCAAUUAUACUGUAAUUCAACUGUCAUUUGCACUAUAAUACUACUGCUUUUUCCUCUGUAAAUUUAAUGUCAAAUGUCACUGGGAAUUAUAGUAGUUCUAUGUAUAUUGCACUAUAUUUGUGAUGUAAUUAGAUUGUAUAUUACAUUGUAAAUCUUUUGCAAUUGCACUGUAAAACUCACAACAUUUCUACUGUAGUUGUAUUUCUACUAUAAAUUAGACUGUAAAUCUAUUCAAAUUACACUGCAGAUCACACGAUUAAUCUACUUGUUACACUACAAUUCUACUAUAUUUGUUACAAUGUAAAUUCCAUUGUAAAUCUACUAUAAAUUAUACUGUAAAUCUUCUGAAAUUACAGUGUAAAACACACUUUGAAUUUACUCUAUUGUAUUUAAAACAUCGUAAUUGUAUUUGUAAAUUACAUUCUAAUUGUACUGUGUUUAUACUGUAUUUUACACUGCAAUUCUACUGUAAAUCUACUGUAAAAUACAGUGUAAUUUAAACUGUAAAACUGUCUUCUACUGUAAUUCAACUCCGAAUGUAUUGUUUCAGAGUGACUUAAAUGUGUGAGUUCAGUUCAUCAUGUGUGAUGGUUACGUUUUUAUCUUCAAAGUUUACUGUAGUUGUUCCUUUUUUCCUGUAAUUGUUACUGGACUAAAAUGAUUUACUGUUUCCGUUUUACUUUGCUUACAGUCCAACUAUGUGAUAGUUUCCUGUACUGAGAUCUUAUAUUUCUGCUACAUUUAUCAGUAUAAUUUCUGCUUCUCUUUGCCAUUCAUGUUUGAAAGUUCUAAUGUAUAUAUGGUUUGCAGUUCUUUAGUAGUUUUAUUUUCCCUGUAAUCUUAAUGUAAUAUGUUUCCUGAUGUACACUUGUCUUUGUUUCUUUCUUUCAAUUUGGAGAAGCAUUUCAUGUCUUCUCUUUCUACCUUCAUAAAUGAGGGUAGUUGUUUUUCACUAUAGUCUUUUGCAUGAGUUACAAGAUCUGGUAGUCAUAUGCACAUGGCUAGAUAUGGUAUACAAAACUCAUUUUCUCUGUAAAGUUCGAUGAAAUUAUGAUCUAGAUGUGCUUCUAGUGUCUACUAGCUGUUAGAAGUGCUUCCAUUAUCUACCGGCUGCAGUCUCUGAACUAUUUUAUGUUCUCCUUUUUUUGUAACUUGUAACAGAAAAUUAAGGAUUCAUAAACAUCAUGUUGAUAUGAGGGAAUGCUGCAGUUGGAUUGAUGUACUUGACAGAAGCAUCAGGGACAGAGGUGAUUUAGGGAGGGCACCUGACAUGUGAUUAUUCCAUAGUGUAAAUUAGACUGGUCGUUUCAGUAACUUCAUUUUUUUACAUGUGAGAAUAGUGUCAGUGGCUGCACUUCCUAGUUUAGUUCAGGUGUUCGCUUUUACUGUAGUCUUCCUUACGCUUUUGUAUUUGGGCCUCAUGACGUUGUUAUAAGGAAGAGACUUGACACUGUUAGUGGACAGGAACUCUUGUCAAGUUGUAGUUGGUUGAAAAAAACGACUGAACUCCAAUUGGUUUUCAUCCGGCUGUAAAGUAGACAGUCCCUAUUUAUUUGCCCAAUAACCUUAUCCAUAUUGACGGCCAAUUUUGCUCUAAACAACAAAGCGGUGCAUAAGCAUUAGAAUACUUACCGUCAAAAAAAAAAAGCAUUAGAAUACUUAAAAGUCUUCUAUGCACCACAUGUUCCCUAUCCUCUUCGGUGGCACUGUACUUCGCCUUUUUCCUCAAAGUAAAUUGUAAGACCAAUUCCACUACCUCACAAGAGCAGCUAUGCAGUUGACUCCCUCUCCUACUUCAGAAAUGCACUAUAUUGAUAAUGCCAUGAGGUGAGAUUGGGGGGCGUCAGAAAUUUCAAUUUUAGGAGAAGAGAAAACAAAACGCACCGAAACUCCCACCCACUGAACUACAAAUCCGCACGCUGCACCUCCUCUGUCCCUCCAGCGAGCUGCAAAUGGCAGCGUGGCCAACUACACAGUGUCGCCACCGUGGGCGCAUGGCGAACUACAUGGCGUUGCCGCCCGCACUGCCCUGUCGUCGAGUGCCGGUGAAGUGGAGGUCGCCGCACAAUCCGAGGACGAGGAUGAGGGGAUCCGGCUGGAUCACGUGGCUACAGGCGCGGGGGCUCCGACGGUGGCCGGCGUCCACGGCCACUGGAGGCACUUGCGAGCAGGAGGCCCGAGCCGUGCUUGUAGGAGGCCGUCGGGGCGCGAGGUUGGACGGCCGAAGAUGCGCGGAGAGGCGCCGAUGCGGGGCAGCCUCCUCGAUCCCGGCGACCUGAGGGUCGCGAGGCACCGUGAAUGAACGGAUCAGGGCCAUCGGCGAGGGAGCAUGCGGGGGUCAACGGCGGCUGCUGCCCGAUCCCUUCUUCUUAUGGCGCGGCGGGGCCAGCUUCGCUCAGAUCUGUCGUCGAGGCAACGGAGCGGGGGGAGGGAAUUGGUUUCCAGGGGCCAGAUCAGUGUGCGGGAGGAAGGUAGCGGCGGGGUUGAGGCUUGCCCGGCGGAGUGGGGUGCAACGGUGGCGCCNNN